UGUCCGUCAGUGCUCAGCACUCACUGGCCACAGGUUCGCCACUCACUCGUCACGGUGCUGCAGUCGUCGGCCGUCGUCCGCGAUUCAGAUCACUGUUUUCGCGUUACGUUCCGAUGCCGGCAAAAGUGCCGGACAGCGUAGUGCAAACGGCCAGAAAAUGUCGGUAUAUUUCGAUCGGAGGUAUGUACGUUGAUUGUAUUUCGAUUAUUACCGAAAUCGACAAGCGGUUCGAAUUUACCGUAACAUUAUUAUUACGGUUUUCUUUAAACCGUUCGAAACCGCCGAAGAAAACACCCGAUUCUAUUACCUACCUGUUUUGAAUUUUCAAUGUCUUUUCAAGAAAUCUCUGCGUUAUUCAAACGUGUGCCAGCGUCGUUUACCAACGGUUACAUUUUCCAACUUGUUCCUGUGUAUUUUUUUUUUUUUAUAAUAUGUAGAGUAACUGGGCGCGAUAUAAUUUUAUACGACUAUACGCGACGUCUAUUACAAAUAAAACUAUUUAAAUGUCUAUCGUUUCGUAACAGCAUUAAUUAAUACUUAUAGCGCCUUUUGUUAAGUUAACAGAUAAGUAUCGCCGCCGUUGACAUCAACGUCUCAACAGUUACGCGCUUCGGAUCGCGGUAUUUCGUUUUGUACCGGCCGGCAUGGGACAGCUAAUAUUAUAUUUUGUGAUACAAGCGAUCUUUGUUGAAGACUAAUUUUUCGAUUGGUGUACUUCUGACACAGGUAAAACAAUUUUGAAAUCGUUUAUUAAUUGUAGCGAUCGUAUUAUCAGCGACGGAUUUACAACGUUUUUAACGGUGGAGUGGGAGGAUUUUAAACAAUUAUGAUAUUAUGCAUACAGUAAAACCUCUCUAUAACGGAUACUCUUAUAAGAUGGAAUCCUUUUAACUGACCUCUAAUAAACGAAAACAAACAUUUUCGUAGUAUAGCAAAGAUUAGAUGUGUACCUGUAGUACAAAGUAGAGCCAAAAACAAACCAUUUUAAAACCGUAAUCUCAUAUUUGGAAGAGUUACAAAAGUUUUUAGCUGCAAUUUCAAAUUCAAAGCCAUUAGAAAUAACAUAAAAACCAUGAAAAUGUGCUGCCCUUGGUCACAAAAAAACUGUAAAAUAUUAUGAACUAUUUUUUAAUUAUUAAAAAGGUAAUAUACAAUAUCAUUUUUUUUUUACCUUUUGGUAUUAAUUUUUUAGUAUUCUAUACGGUUAAAUGUAUGUAAUAUUUUUAUAGGUACCUAAAAUUGAAUAUUUUUUUCUUUAUUACAGAAAACUGAGCAGAAAAGUCUUUAAAACGGAAAAGUUUGUUGGUCCUAAGUGAUUUCAUUAUAGAAAGGUUUUACUGUAUUUAAAAAGUUUUAUUUUCAAAAAGAGCAGCUGUUUUUUAGACAUUUUAUUGAAAUUAUAUUGGUGUCUGGAGGAUCCAGGGAGUUUUAAAUCCUCCCCCACUCCAUAAAUCCGCUACUAAUAAUUAUUAUUAAUGAUUAUUUAGAUGUGAAUUUUGUAGUAAAUGAAUACCUAAAAUAGAUUUUAGCUUACUAUCUUUUGUUUUGCGUAGAUUUCUUAGUAAUAUACCUACCUAUAGGUACAUCCACAGUAUAAUAUACUGUAGGAAAAUUCUAUUAUAAAUUCGAAUUUAUCCUUAAAUUAAUAAUAUUUAAUUUUGUUAAUUUCGUUUCUAUUAAUCUAUUUUUCUAAAUUUUCCGAUUUUUUUAAAUGCAUUUUGUUUUUUUUUGAAAUUUAAAAUACAUAUCUAUAUACACAUAAAUUACAAUAUGAUUCAUUUAACAUUAAGAAUUCAUUAUUUAGUGAAGUAUUAAUUUUUUUCAAAAAAAAAUAUUAGUUUGAUUAUUUAAGAACUGAAUACCUUGCUCGAAGUUAUUACAAUACCUACCAUUAAUUUUAAAGGUGAAACAACUAACUUUGGUACUUUUGAUUUUCAAAUUGCAACAUUAAAAAAUUCCAUAAUUAGAUGGAGUAUUUAAAUUUUUGUCUAGAAAUUGUUGAUUUGCGUCAACUCGUUGAUGAGAUAUUCCACUUUUAACUUUAGGUAGGGAGAGAGUAGUGGAGCAAUAUUUGUGGAUCAUUAUUAAUUCCUUUAUGAUAUAUUCCUAUUUUAUUAACUUCAAGAUAAACAGUUAAAUUAAAUAAAGUGUGUUUUAUCUAUUAAAUAAUAAACAAAUAAAAUGUUUCUGUAAUUUUAGCUAUUAUUUUAAGAUUAUAUUUUCUAGUUUAAUUAAACAUUGAAUAUAAUCAAUUAAUAUUUAUAUUUACUGAAUUGAUUUUUGUUUCAUAAUUUUAUAUGGCUAGAGGUUUUAAUGGUUUACAUGGAAUUAUUGGAUCUUUAUUUAAUAUUAAAUUUUAUUUAAAUAAUAAAAUCAUAUCAGAUUUGAAUUAGCAGCUUGAGACUGACACUUUAUUGAUAUUGUUUGCCAAUUUGUAUGUAUAUAAAUUUUGUUUAUGAAAUAAUUAAAUGUUGUCAAUAAAAUAGGUGGGAAGAUGAGAUACAUUAUGUUGUUUAAUUUAUAUCUGUAGCAUUGAUAACAAUAACUAACUAAAAAGGAUUCUAUUGUUUUACAUGUUUUGAAAGGCCCUCGGGGCGUUCUCAGAAGGUGAGAGUCGCUCCACAUGGCAUUUUUUCUUCAAAUUUUUGUAAAUUAUAUCACACCAAGAAAAUGCAUAAAAAUACAUUGUAAAAUUGUGUGAUAUUGCAUAUUAGACACAAAUAAAAGAAUUUUAUCACUCUGAAAUAAAACAAAUUUUAUCAUAUAGCAUCGAGAUAAUUGUUGUAUACCUUCUACUUAAUACUGUUAUACUAUGAUAAUAUAAAUUUCAUUUUUUAUAAUUAUUUUCUUUAUAUCUACCUACCAAUUGCUUUUUAAUGCAAAUGAAUGACUGGUUAUUGAUAAUAAUUAUUACAAUAUGUCUCUUUUAUUGUUAUAAAAGUUGUAGUUUAUUAAAAUAAUUUAAAAAUGUGAAAUUUAUUGAACUAAACAGAAGUUAUACUUAUUAUGUAAAAUAAUUGAAUAAUAUAAUGCCCACUAGUUAUUAUAUAUAAUAACUAGAUUUAUUAAACUAAAAACAUAGGAACAUAUUCAUCAUAAACUACACAUACCUAUAUAGACAGAUAGACUGAUUCAUUCAACACACAACAUUCAUUAUUUUGAAUAUUAUUCACUUUUUUUGGAAUUUUCUUUUGGGAGAUUAGUUUAAAUAUUAAAAUCUUUAAUUUUUUUUAGCUAUAUGAUAUUUUUAAUCUCUGUUUGUACCCUAAAUAAGUAUCAACUUCUAAUUUUUAAAUGAAAACCCCUAUUUUUAUUACCAGACAUCUAUGAAGAUAUUUUUUAUGAAUUCAAAUUUAAUGUAUAAGGCAUUUGCCUUAAUAUUCUAAUACAUUCCUUGUAUAUUUGAAUUAAUUUCCCAAAAGAAAAUUCUAAAUAAAGUUAAUACUUUUUUGAAUAAUGAGUGUUGUAUGUUAAAUGGAUAUUUUACUCUGUAUAUUUACAUUUUUUAAGUUUUUGUACAUAGUUUUGUUUUUGCUUUAUAAUUAUUUCCUUGCUUUUCUAUGCUUAUUAGAUUAAAAACUUGGUUGAGAAAUCAAAUUGGGUAAACAUGUUUGACUGGUUUGGUGCUUAUGAAUAUUUAUAAUAAUAAUUAAUAUUAUGGUACAUAUUAAUAACAUAAUUAAUGCUUUUGGUAAAUCAAAACCCAAAGUUGAUUUCAUUAUUUAAAAUUUGCAUUCAGUUAAAUUAUAUUCAGAUUCAAUUAGUUUUUUUUUAAUCUAAAUGAGUACCUAUAAUUUGUAAAUUGUUUUUUCUCACUUUAUUACCUAAUCACUUCUAUUAUUAGUUUAUAUUUAAAUAUGCAUACAAAUAUUUUAGAUACUGUGACCAUGUUAACUCUGUUUUCCUUAAAAGCCAAUAUUUUAAACAUUUUGAUUUUAACGAUUUCACUAUUUGUUGAAUUUAUAAUCAUGCCUAUGACAUUACACUCAAUUUUUUUUAAAUAAAUCAUUAAAAUGAACUUCCUGUUAAAUUUUUAAGCAUAUCUGUUUGAUCUGACAAUUUUAUCCACAGAGUACAUACCAAAUAAAAAACUAUAUUUGAAACUUGCAAAAUUAAAAUAUCCAUAAGUAGUUCAUAAAUUGUCCAAAUGUUUUGAACAAUGUACCACAACUAGGAAAGGCAAAUAUAAGGUUUUUUUCAAAAUUUCAAGUUUCUACAAUUUUUUUAACUGAAUUAUAACAACAAAAAAAAAAAAAAAAAUUUGAAAAUAAUAAAAUAAUAAUUUUUGUAAAUUUUCCUGUUCUUUCUAUAUAUUUUUCUUUCGAUUUUGCUCAACUAUUAAAAAAAUUACAAAUAUCAUCAAAACCUGAUCUUAUUGGUUACCAACUAAAUUAAAAAUGCAACAAAAAUAAUCUCUUGUUGUUUUUCUUUUGGUGCAAUAUUUAUGGUACAAAAUAUAGUUCACAAAAAUUAAAAAUAAUGUAAUUGGCUGUAAAUGGAAUGUACAGUAAAUAUUUACAGGUUUACCUAUAAGUUUGUUUCUGGUUUUUCUCAAUUAUUUUGAAAACACCAUGGAGAAUCCAAAAAUAAUCUCUCGAAUGCUACAGAUGAAAUUUUUUUUUGGAAAAGGUGCUUCAUACACUUAAUACAUUGGAUGAAGAUUUCUAGUUCCUCACAGAAACAAAAAAAAAAAAAAAAAUUAACUGUAAAAACCAAUAGAUCCCUUGCUAUGCUGCGAAUAUCAAAAUGUAAUAAUAAUAAAACAUUUUUUUAAAUAAAAUAAUUUGAAAAAUAGGUUUUAAUUUUAAUUAUAUCAAUAUUAUCUGCAUUAAUAAUUUUAUUUUGAAUUAUAAUAUUAAUUAAUAUAAAAAUAAUAUUCAAUCACAAUAAAUUAGCAACAUUUGAAUGUUGAUUUGAUUCAUUUAAUAAAUCACAUAUUCCAUUAUAAAUAAACUUCUACUUAAUUAAAAUUAUUUUCAUAAUUUUCGAAAUUGAUAUUUCAAUUAGAGAUAUUCCGGGUAGAUAAUUUGUUAAAAAACCGGGUAUCAAUUACUGGCCAAGUACAAUUUUUAAUACUAAUCAAGUGUCAAGUAUUGGCUGAGUAUAAAAGUAAAUACAGAAUGUAUUAUAAUAUCGAAUAUAUUGAAAUAUAAUUUCGUUGAUUCUACCAAACAGAUCACUAUUUCUAUUGAGUGUAUUUUUGUGUGUAAAAUGACAUUGGCACUGGGUACCUCAACAUUAGAAGAUACAUAAUUUAAUUUAAUAAUUUAAUAAUUUAUUCUGGUUAUUAAUUUGAUCAUUAAAAAGAUCUACUGAUAAACUAUCUGCACUAUUAUUCUACAUCUGCAACCAGAAAUGCUUUCAAUAUUUUUCAGUAUGAAUUAAAAUUUUAUACUUUGAGUGAGGAAUGUAUUGGUUUUACAAUGAUAUUUAUUUUUUCCCUUCUUAUUUUUUACCUGUAAACAACUUUUCUAAUUUUUGUUACAAUUUUUAAAUUUAGUACCUUUUCUGAAAAGAAAUUUUAUCUAGAUGUUAGUGGUACUUUAGGGACAUCAUUUUUGCAGUUUUCAUAAUGGAAAAAACGGAAAUUAAUUAAAAUAAUUCUUUUAUUAUUUUAAAUUUUGGUUUUUUUUUUUGGUUUUUAUUUGAUAGAAAUCAUAAGUACUAGACAAUUUAUAUUUGCCUUUUCUAGACAUGGUAUAAUUUUCAAAACAUUUGAGCUAUUUAUAGACAUUUUAAUUUUGCAAGCUUUUUACCUAAUUUUUAAUUGAUACUCUGUGGACAAAAUAAUUAGAUCAAACAGAAAUGUUUGGAAUUUUAACAGGAAGUUCAUUUUAAUUUGUAUUUAGUGGUUAACAAGAAAAAAGUUGAGUUUAAUAAAGUAUUUUUUUACAUUCUGAGUUUAGCAAAGAAUGUAUUGGUUUUAGAAAGAUGUUUUUUUUUUAAUUUAGUUUUUUUUGUGAACAAUUUUUACCAGGAAGCUUACUCCAAUUAAUAAGUAUAGCACCUUUUCUAAAAGGAAAUGUUCUCUGGGCGGUAUUUAAAGAGGUCAUAUUUUGAAAUUCACAUUAAUAUUAGAUAUAAUAAGAAAAACCUGGUUCUUUAGGUUAAAAAAAAAUUAAAGAUUAAAAAUAGGUUUGUUAUUGGCAACGGGUUUUAUUUAUUUUUUGUUAUUAAGUUUUUAUUAUUUUAAUUUUUUUUCAAAUAAUCAUUGUUGUUAUGGAAAUGCAUAUUGUUAUAGUCAUUUUACCAUAGUAUAUAUAUUGUUGACAAAGCCACACUAUCAACUGAAUUCUGUUCAGAAUCGUUUUUUUUACAAUGGUUUAUCGUUGCUUAUAGAUAUAUAUAUAAAUUCCCCUUUGUAUUCUACCUUCCCAACUUCCUACCUAUUACAGUGCUGUGACCAUGUAUCUCCAUGUAUGUCUUUUUAAAAAAUAAUUUUAAUAUCAAAUGAUGAUGAAAACAGUAAAAAUUAUGUUCUUUUAAAACAUGUAUACAAAAUCUAUGCUCAGAAUCUGUUUUCAUUAGCGAUUAUUUCGUACAGAUAUACGUUUAACUUCUCCUCUACCUUCCCAACUUCACACCUACAACAGUAACCCACACUUUGUGUUAAGUAUGUCCAUAUUUUAAUAUAUAAAAAUUAAACUUUAUUCAAAUUGACACUGUCAGAAUUUACUGUUUGAACAAUAUUUCUCAUAAGUAGAGUUCAGAUUUAUAUUCUAAUGUUUGAAAUAUGAUGUUUAUAUGUAGCAGAAUUGAUGAAAUAUUCCCAAAAAUAUUCUAAAUAUUCUCAAAAUAAUAAUCAAAAAAAAUCUUUGAUUGUUAUUGAAUUAUUUUUUUAGAUCGUAGAUAAUAGAUUCUAUUAUUAUUUAUUUAUGUAUCAUGGCUUUUUGGGUGUAUCAGUAUAAAAAUAUAUUUGCUCAUGAGUUUUGAAUAACAAUUUAUUACAAUAAAUUACUGAAUCUGUAACUAAAAAUAAACUAAACUAAAAAUUUGAUAAUAUUUCUAUAAUAUAAUCUAUUAUAGCUGAAAUAUGUUAAAAUAUUCUUUAAUAAAUCUUGGAUGAAAAGUCCGAGGUCAAAAGAUACAUGGAUAAAAAGUCUGAGCCCUUUUUUACAUUCUACAAUAAUAAUAAUAAUUUAAAAUAAGUUAUUGUUUGAAAAAUAAUCAAUAAAAAUAUUGAUUAGUGUACAAUAAAAGUGAUAACAAUUUUUAGCUUACUAUUGGAAGUAAAUAAAAUAGCUAGACAUUAUUUUCAGCACAACUUUUUUUACUCUCAUUAAAAAUCAUAUGUUUAUUAAAAAUAUGUUUUUGCAUAAAAAUCGGGACUUUACUCAUAGGUAUUUAAAAUUAGAUUAAUAUAUAUUGUCUUUAAAAUGUUAUAUUAAAGAUUGCAACUAUUUAUAUAUGUAUUUUUUUAUUUAGUUUAGAUAUGUAAAGUGUAACUACAGGAUUACAAUACACUGAUUCUAUAUAAAUGUUAUUUGGUAAAAAUUAGUAAAAAUACUAACAACAACUGAGUUUGAAUGAAGUAAGUUUUCAUUUAAAACAAUCAUGUUAAUUUAUACCUUUUUAUUAAAAUCUAAAUCUAUUUUUUUAAGUUUCAUUUAGGGCUCCUUAAAUUUAUCUACAAAACUCUGCCUGCAUAACUACAAUAAUUAAACAUUAAACAAUUGAUCAUUGAUCAUGUAAUGAAGAUUAAAAUUGAAGAGAUUAUAUUGGAAAAGAAAAAUCAAUAAUAAUUGAAUUAAAUACAUUUAAAUGCAGAAUAUUAUAAAGAAAUUAUACACAUUUGUGAUUGGUAUGUACUCUAUAUAUAUUUUUUUAUUUUCUUACUUAUGUAAUUAUAAUAUUUAUUAGGGAAACUUACAGUUUUAGAAAAUACACUUUUUACUUAUAAAUUGCGCACAACUAGUAUCACAUGUUUCCAUUUGUCAUUUAUUGGAUAAUCAUUGCUCAACCUCAACUCAAGUCUGAGGGUAGAGAAUAGCACUGCUAGGUGUACCUCACAAAAACAUAGAGUAUUGAUGAACGCAAUUAUUAAUAUUAUUACUAUAUCUUUAGUAACAACUAUGAAAUUAUCAACAAUUUGGAUUAUAGUUUCAAUACUUACAGUAUUAAUGUAGUUUCAACAUUGGCAUUUGUAGUGUAAGAAAACAUCCAAGUAUACCAUUGAAAUUUUGAUAUUCAGUGCAUACUGAUAUCCACUGCUGCUAUUUAUUCAAAAUCAGUACCAAGCAAACCACACUUGACACUUGAAUGUGGUAAAUUUUCUGAUUAAAACCAUAGAAACCCUCAAUUCAUGAAUUUGAUCUAAUACUACUUUUUCAGGUGAGACAUAAAAGUAUCUUCAAAACUCUGUCUACAUAACUACUGUUGCACAUUUCAAUAUAGAAUACUCAGGACCUAUAACUCUUUAGUUGGUAUGUAUUAAACAUAUUUAACAUUUUGAUUGUAAUAUUUUUAAUGAGAACUUACAAUUUUAGAAAAUACACUAUUCACUUAUAUAUUGCGCACAACUAGUGUAGCAUGUCUUCACUUGCCAUUCAUGGGCCAGUCAUUACCCAACUUUUUGUGCAGUCUGCAGGCUGUGAAUGAUACUGCUUGGUGAACCUGCCGUGAGAUCUUGACAAUUGCAAUAACAAAGACCUUUACUAUUACUUUAUAUACAACUAAAGCUUUUCAUCAGCUACAACUAUUACUACAUCUAUAACUUUAACUAUUACUACAUAUAUGAUUACAACUUAUUACUUUCCACUACCUAGACUAUAGUUUCAACUACAAUAUCAUUAUAGUUCCCACAUUGGAAUUUUGGAGUAUAAAAUUGUACAAUAUAACCAUUAAAAUAUUGAUACUUGGUGCAUAUAAGUACCCAAGUAAACACAAUUGAUGUACCAUUGGGUAUGUCUUAUAAGGAUACAAUUAUAAAACCAUACAGCUUUUGAAUUAUAUAUAAAUCUUGUAUUUUAGAUAAUGCCCAUUAAAUAUAUCUAUAAAACACCGCCUACUUAACUCUAGUUACACAUUUGAGUUUCAAUUGAUUUAAUUGAGAUUAAUAAGUAAGAGUGUACAUUGUGUAGAAGUCUUGUUCCAUAUAAUUGUACAAAAAUGUUUAUGGAGAAAACUGAGGAUUCAUAAGGGAUUGGCCAGCUUUUAAUAUGGUAUUAUUCCCACUUCACACAUAUAUUUUGAAUUUUUGUCAUUUUUAUUGAGAUAUUUUCAUUAUAGAAACAUAUGGAGAGUUAUAUAAUACACAAUUUACUUAUAUACUGCGCACAACUAAUAUAGCAUGUUUUUAAUUGUUGUUAUUCAUGCACAAUGCUCCUUUUGGAGUAUAAAAUAACACUAGAAAAUGCUAUUUAUUCAAAAUCAGUACCAAGCAAACCACACUUGACACUUGAAUGUGGUAAAUUUUCUGAUUAAAACCAUAGAAACCCUCAAUUCAUGAAUUUGAUCUAAUACUACUUUUUCAGGUGAGACAUAAAAGUAUCUUCAAAACUCUGUCUACAUAACUACUGUUGCACAUUUCAAUAUAGAAUACUCAGGACCUAUAACUCUUUAGUAAGUAUGUAUUAAACAUAUUUAACAUUUUGAUUGUAAUAUUUUUAAUGAGAACUUACAAUUUUAGAAAAUACACUAUUCACUUAUAUAUUGCGCACAACUAGUGUAGCAUGUCUUCAUUUGCCAUUCAUGGGCCAGUCAUCACCCAACAUUUUGUGCUUUCUGCAGUACCA
rnacentral:lncRNA from 1 species